UCAUUCCUCCCCACGAAUAUCUUACUCUGCAACAUCUUUAGGUUUUGGUGAUUCAUUUGUAUACUCCUAUGUGUUUCUUCUAUGAAGUCUUUUCUAAUGUAGCGGCACUCGUCGAUAAAAUUCAUAACGGUUUCCGUCCAGUGAACCCGCUACACAAAAAAAUCGUGUUUACAGAAAGAUGAGUUUAUUAUAGAUCCGACAACCUUAGGCGGUUACCGAAGGUUAAUCAAAAUCCGUCGUUUUUGUUGUGAUCAUAUGCCCUCGAGUCGACUACCCGAAAAGUCAAAAUUCGUAAACAAGAGUUCAGCGUCCGUUGGAAUCUUUCGAGAACAUUUUCAAAAUUAAAAUCCCAACGCCUUUUGUCAACUCCGACGGUUACAAAUAUAGCGAACAGGGUAGCGAGGCAUUCUUUUGUUAUCGAGUGACACGAGCAGUAGCAGCUAAGUCGAUACUUCCCUUGCGCCGAUCUAUUCGUAAUCGCGAAUCAAGACAACAGUUGUAUUAUACGACUAGUGUACACGUAGGGUAUACUUUAAUAAACUACAUAGUUAAAUAUACUCUGGUGUGUUUAAACCUAAAUCGCUUACAUACACCUCACUAAUAUCCUCUGAAGGUGCUAUACUUGUUUCCAUAUAACAGUAAUUUCGACGAUAAUUUCGGUGUUUUCGAGUAUUUUUCAGAUGAGAGUUUAAUAUUUCUGAAUGAUAGGUUGAUUCUGGUUCUUUCCCAAAUGACAAUAUAAUGGCUGUUGUUUCCGUUUCCUUGAGUAUAGCUUUCAAGUUUCGUAGUACUGUGACGAUAUUUUCGUCCUUCGGUUCUUC
rnacentral:misc_RNA from 1 species